UUCACCUUGUUGGCCAGGCUGGUCCCGAACUCCUGACCUCAGGUGAUCCACCUGCCUUGGUCUUGCAAAGUGCUGGGAUGACAGGUGUGAGCCACCUUGCCCGGCCAAGUAUAUCAAUUUUUAACAUUCACCAGUCUUUUAUGAUUUCUAGAUUUUAUGCUAUGCUUAAAAUGGCCUUCUUUUAUAAAAACAUCUGCUGAGAGUUGCUUCCAACACUGGUGCAUUUUUUUAAACAUCUCCAUUGUUAAUCUUUGUGGAAUUUGCUUGGGGCUGAGGCAGAGAUGUUCAAGGAAGCUCAGCGUCACACUUGGUGUUUCGCUCACGGGGUCUGGCUGUGGGCUCUUGGGUAACAGCAAUGACUGUAAACAUCUCCCCUUCCACCCAUCCAGCUUCCUGACUCAGGGGCUGUGUGUCGCUGCACCUCUGUACCCCUGAGCCGAACCCCACCCUGUCCUGUGGCAGGUGUGGCAUGAAACAUGCAUUGUGUGGGAGAGGUAGGUAGACUUGGAGCUGGCUGGACCCCUGCAAGAUCCUGGCCUGGUGCCUCCCAAGGAGCAGCUGGAGACCCUGGUGGUGGCAGUGGAGGUGGAGAGCAGCCUGGGGUGGAGGGGAUCGCCUGUGACAGAGAGGGCGGAAGAGCCGGAGCUUUGCCUUGGGUGCAUAAAAUCAGAGAUGCCUGUGAGAUAGGAAUGCAUGUGCAGACACCGAGGUGCAGGAAAUCCCAGGCUCAGCUGGGGAGGCCAGGCUGGAGGCAAUGCUUCGGGGCCAGCACUGGGGCAGGCCUUCAGCCAGAGCUCCGAGUCUGCGGUCCUCCAGAGCUUAGGGGCCUAUGAGACGAGGCAGCCAGGAAGCAGGGUAGUGGGCAGCUGUGCAGCAGUCACAGCGAGGGGGCCUGGUGGCUCGGUGAUGGAGGGAGGGGCGUGAGGAAGCAGAGCCUCGUUGGGAGCAGGGUGAGGCCUGGAUGGUGCUGGGACCAGGUGAUGAGGGGGUGUUAGGGACCUCAGUGGGACUGCGUGGGGUGUGGUCAGAUUGGAUGGGUGAUGCCCACAUACCCACAGUGGGCAGGGAGCGGUGGGGCUGGGAGAGCAGGGGCCGUGGGUCGUGAGGUCAGGGACCCAAAACGGGGCAUGGGCCAGGUCAUCUGUAGGGGCGGUGGCCUGGCAUGACGGCAGACCAGGCAGAAGGGGAGAUGGGAACUGCAGUUCAGAUGGUGGAAGGAGAGUGCCAGCUGGGCAGACAGCAUCCCGUAGCCCUGGGGUCAUUGGCCCGCAGGGCCUGCUCUCCUCCCUCUCUGCCUCUGUUCUUUGGGAGUCUGGGUCCUGGUUGGCUGCAGAAGAGUCCUCCCAGCUGGUGGUCAGCUCCUGGCCGGGACUGUUGCUGCUACUUCCGGGAAGCAAAGGGGGUCCAGAACCAGGAAUGGGAUGGGGGUCACCUUGUGUCCCCAUGUGGCUCCAGGAGUAGGGGCACACCCAGGGCCAGUGCUGUGGGAAAGGAAGGCCCCAGGACGGCGUCAGCGUGGCUGGCCUGAGUGUGGGUGCUCUUGGGCAGACUGGUGUGUCCGGCGGGCUGGGGCCAAGUGGGACGGUGAGGGUAGGGAAGGCCAUCCGCAGGGGCACACGGGGGAGGGGGCAGGGCUGGGCAGGACUGGAAGUGCGAGUCUGCAGGUGUAGCAGAAGAGGUGUCUUCAGUAUCGCUCCUCUGUCUUUUGCCUAAGAUCAAGUGUGAGGUGUCUGCAGUAAGCGUCUCGGGUGUGGCUUUUACGAUUUUUAUUCUGCUCUUUUGUUUUUUCAAAUGAAUGUGUCUUUUGACCUUUCGAAAGUGCAUCUCUCUCUUCUUUGGCUACCUGGGAAGCUAACCGAGCAGGCUCACGAUAGGCCCAAGAGACACAGCUGGAUGCCACUGUCAUGACGGCCACAAGAAUGCAUGGUCGCUUGCAGAAUACAAAUACCCCCAAAGAAUGUGCCCUGUUUGAAGUUCCUGUGGCCGCUGUCACGUGUACCCACAAACCUAAAACAACAGCAAUGCCUGGGAAGGCCCUUCUGUGGCUGUGCUCCUCCCUCUGUACCUGCAGCUCUUCCGGCUUCUGCCUCUAGGCCUGAGGCUCUGACCUUGGAGUCAUUCUUCCUUUGUCUUGAAGGGCAGCACAUGCUUGUGGCUGCCGGGGACUGUCAUCCUGUUUCUUUCCUGUAGACUUGCAGAAGCCCAGGCCCUUCCUUCAUUUCAUCCUGUCUCUGUCCCCUUCAAUCCAGGUGGACAGUGUUUCUACUGGUACCACAUUCUCAUAAACCUUCUGGGUCUCCCUUGUAUGUCACAGGGAGCCAGCCCGUUAGAGAGGAGGGUUCACUCGGCUCCUCCCUGGGUAAUCUCGGCUCUAUUUCUGGCUUCUGCUGAGACGGGUGAAUGGACUUAUGACUCACACACCUCAUCUCUCCAGAGAUAGCUUUCUCUGCAGAACACACUUUCCUAACAGUGAACCUCCCAACAUUAUCACUGGCAAUCUAAAUCAGCUGCACGUAUCCCAGAUCACCCCUGCUGGUUCCUUUCUGCUUAACAUUUCCUUCCUCAAUGUAUCUCUUUCUUCCUAUACUUCACCAUAAGCAGCAAGAAGCAGCCAAGCUGCACCUUCCACACUUUGCUUGGAAAUCUUUUCAGCUAAAUUUCCAAGUUCAUUGCUUACAAGUUCUAUUAAGCAUGCAACGGUGAACACGAUUCAGCCAAGUUUUGCUUCAGUGUAAGAAGCACUUUUCCUCUGCCUUCCAAUGAUAUGUUCCUUGUUGCCUUCCAAGGUCUCACCAGAAGCACCUUUAAUACGCAUAUUUCUACCAACAGUCUGGUCAGACAGGCUAGGCUUUCUUUAAUUGUGUGCCUCAAGAUGUCCCAGCCUCUGCUUAUUACUCAGUUCCAAAGCCACAUCCACGUCUUCAGGUACUUGCCACAGUAGCACCCCACUCUUGCUCACUGUCUGUAUUGACUCCCUGUGAUUCCUACAGGGAAGAGUCACAAGCAGAGUGCUCUAAAACAGUAGAAGCAGAUCCUUUUACUGCUCUGGAGGCUAGAAGUCAAAAUUCCGGCAUCGGCAGGUCCACGCUUUCUCCGAAGGCAUCGGGAACAGCCGCCCGCCUCUUCCAGUUCCACCGCUUCUUGGCUUGUGGCUGCGUCACACCAGCCCCUGCCUCUGUGUCUCUCCUUGUCUAAAGCCCACCCAGGUAAUCCAGGAUGAUCUCAUCUCAAGAUCCUUUACUUAAUUAGAUCUGCAGAGACCCUGUGUCCAAAUAAGGCCACAUUUAUGAGCUCCGAGGACAUGGACAUGUAUUUUUGUGGCCACCAUUCAACCUACCCCCAGCCGUCCUUCAGGAGUGGGUUAAUGUAGAACCUAUGUUCCACAGUCAUUGUUUUAAACAGUGAGUACACUGGGCAUGGUGGCACAUGCCUGUAAUCCCAGCACUUUGGGAGGCUGAGGUGGGAGGAUCUCUUGAACAUAGAAUGUCAAGGCUGCAGUGAACCUGGGCUACAGAGCAAGACUCUGUCUCAAAAAAAUAGAAAAAUGAAAAAGCAUGCACAGCGUUCUUUAGUAUGUGUUAAUUCAUCUGUAAUUUCAUAAUUUAACGUUAUGAAGUAUUUUAGACAUAUGUAACUUGUUUUACUUAGUGAUACUGAUACAGCUUGGACGUGUCUCUGUGACAUUAAUUUACAACACAGCAUUCCUCUGUAUGGCAAAACCGAUCAAUGCUUUCUCAUAGGACAUUGAGCUUAUUAUUAUUAUUUUUUUUAAAGGUGGGGUUUCCCCAUGUUGGUCAGGUUGGUCUUGAGCUCCCUACCUCAGGUGAUCCGCCGCCUUGGCCUUCAAAGUGCUUGGAUUACAGGCGUGAGCCACCAGGCCCGACCUAUUUUUUUUUUUUAUAUAUUAGAAACGUCUGCAGUGCACAGCGCUGUAGCUGGUUCGUCGUGCGUCAACAUGACUGGUGUUAAAAAUGGAAUUUCUGGGGUAAGUGGUUUUCAAAAUUUACGCUUUAUUUACACCAAUAUGCCAUUUUUUACCGAUCGUAUUGGCAA